rnacentral:rRNA from 1 species
CGCAGCUAACGCAAUAAGUAUCCCACCUGGGGAGUACGAUCGCAAGGUUGAAACUCAAAGGAAUUGACGGGGGCCCGCACAAGCGGUGGAGUAUGUGGUUUAAUUCGAAGCAACGCGAAGAACCUUACCAGGGCUUGACAUCCCGGUGACCGGCAUAGAGAUAUGCUUUUCCUUCGGGACACCGGUGACAGGUGGUGCAUGGUUGUCGUCAGCUCGUGUCGUGAGAUGUUGGGUUAAGUCCCGCAACGAGCGCAACCCUUAUUGUUAGUUGCUACGCAAGAGCACUCUAACGAGACUGCCGUUGACAAAACGGAGGAAGGUGGGGACGACGUCAAAUCAUCAUGCCCCUUAUGUCCUGGGCCACACACGUACUACAAUGGCGGCCAACAAAGAGAGGCGAACCCGCGAGGGGGAGCAAAUCUCCAAAAGCCGUCCCAGUUCGGAUUGCAGGCUGCAACCCGCCUGCAUGAAGUUGGAAUCGCUAGUAAUCGCGGAUCAGCAUGCCGCGGUGAAUACGUUCCCGGGCCUUGCACACACCGCCCGUC